rnacentral:rRNA from 1 species
GAGUUUGAUCAUGGCUCAGAGUGAACGCUGGCGGCAGGCCUAACACAUGCAAGUCGAACGGCAGCACAGAGGAGCUUGCUCCUUGGGUGGCGAGUGGCGGACGGGUGAGGAAUGCAUCGGAAUCUGCCUAUUUGUGGGGGAUAACGUAGGGAAACUUACGCUAAUACCGCAUACGUCCUACGGGAGAAAGUGGGGGACCUUCGGGCCUCACGCAGAUAGAUGAGCCGAUGCCGGAUUAGCUAGUUGGCGGGGUAAAGGCCCACCAAGGCGACGAUCCGUAGCUGGUCUGAGAGGAUGAUCAGCCACACUGGAACUGAGACACGGUCCAGACUCCUACGGGAGGCAGCAGUGGGGAAUAUUGGACAAUGGGCGCAAGCCUGAUCCAGCCAUGCCGCGUGGGUGAUGAAGGCCCUAGGGUUGUAAAGCCCUUUCGGCGGGGAAGAUAAUGACGGUACCCGCAGAAGAAGCCCCGGCUAACUUCGUGCCAGCCGCCGCCGUAAU